rnacentral:rRNA from 1 species
UCGAACGAAGUUUUUCUUUCGGGAGGAACUUAGUGGCGGACGGGUGAGUACCUUGUGGGUAACCUGCCCUGUACAGGGGGACAACAGCUGGAAACGGCUGCUAAUACCGCAUAAGCCCUUAGCACUGCAUGGUGCAUAGGGAAAAGGAGCAAUCCGGUACAGGAUGGACCCGCGUCUGAUUAGCCAGUUGGCAGGGUAACGGCCUACCAAAGCGACGAUCAGUAGCCGAUCUGAGAGGAUGUACGGCCACAUUGGGACUGAGACACGGCCCAGACUCCUACGGGAGGCAGCAGUGGGGAAUAUUGCACAAUGGAGGAAACUCUGAUGCAGCGACGCCGCGUGAGUGAAGAAGUAUUUCGGUAUGUAAAGCUCUAUCAGCAGGGAAGAAAAUGACGGUACCUGACUAAGAAGCACCGGCUAAAUACGUGCCAGCAGCCGCGGUAAUACGUAUGGUGCAAGCGUUAUCCGGAUUUACUGGGUGUAAAGGGAACGUAGGUGGCAAGGCAAGCCAGAAGUGAAAACCCGGGGCUCAACCGCGGGAUUGCUUUUGGAACUGUCAUGCUAGAGUGCAGGAGGGGUGAGCGGAAUUCCUAGUGUAGCGGUGAAAUGCGUAGAUAUUAGGAGGAACACCGGAGGCGAAGGCGGCUCACUGGACUGUAACUGACACUGAGGCUCG